CUGUCGCGCCAGCGGCACCGCUCGGUAGCGAAGUCUGGAAGAGAUAAAUGCUGAAUGCAUCUAAGCAUGAAGCUCGCCCUAAGAUAAGGUCUCCCAAUCCCGCUUCGGCGGGAUAAGAAGGGCGGUCGAAGACUACGACCUUGAUAGGCGGGGGGUGGAAGCGCAGCAAUGCGUUCGAGCUGACCCGUACUAAUCGCCCGUUCGGCUUGACCAU
rnacentral:ncRNA from 1 species